UUUCUAUAGUUGUGAUUCUCUCAUUCAUAGGUCAAAAGGCCACACUGGCAAAGUAACAACACAGAAUUUUAUUACAGCUGCUAGAUAUGAAGACUCAGCAUAUGAUAUCGGUGACGUUAAUACCUUCCCAGGGAGAAGCGCUGUUCCUUCUGGCUGGGAAGUGCGAGCCGGUGGGGGGAGAGAGAGGAGUAGAGCAUUAUGUGGAGGUACUUCCCGGUUCCCUUGCGUCUGAGGGUCUUAUGCCAGAGGGGAUAGAAAGCCCAACAGAAACUCAAGAUAGAAGAAGGAGAAUCUGCGAGUGUCUGUCUCCUGUCAAGCUUCCCUAAUACAGCCCUGGUAGAACUUCAUCAACAGUGGAAGGCAUUUGCAAAGGUGAGCCCAAACCAGCACCCCUUUCCACACAGGCUGUCCAUGUAGAAGGCCCAGAUGCUUCUCAGGGUCUCUGAGAGGAUACAAAGCUACUGAGGGGGCCAGAGGGCACAGCACCUGGGAUUUGGAUGAGAAGCUGCAGGAAGGGAACUUUGCACCCCAAGGGCAUGGUGUGGAGUCAAUAGUGGCAAGUUCAGUCUGGUUUUUUACAUCAGCCGGUUCAGAGGAAGAGUGAAAUCCCCAAGAUCAGCAGGGCAAAAUGCUGGAAGUUGUCGAGGAUGCAGAGAGUAGCAGGAAGACACCUCUGAGAACUCACUCACACACCCUGCCCCUGUGUAGAGAUGUCAUCCUGGGGAUGAGAAGGAGGAAGACAGAGAAACGCAGAAAAGCCUAAGCAGGCACCACAAAGAGACCGAGCCCGUCUGAAAGAGGCUGCUCUAACCUGGUGGAAACUAUUUUAAGUUGCCACCAGACAUUACAUUCCAGAGCCUUGAGAAAAACUGAUGAAAAAAAAGUCAUGAAAAAAAGUCAUUCGCACAAGUGACACCAUGGUGUGAAGUCAAGGAGCACAGACUCUGGAGUCAGAGGGCUUGAGUCAACCUGAGCAUCUUCAGCUUUGACUGUGAAGACACAGCUUUGACUCUCUGUGUUGCAGAGAUGGUAGUGCCCACUCCAGUGACGCUUGUGAGGAUUAGUUGAGAUAAUAAAUACAAAAUGCUGAGCAUCAAACCUAGAGUAGAGAAAGGUCUCAAGUAAGUACUCAUUACCAGUAUUUGUUAUUUAAUUUCACUUUUGUCUACAUUCCCUUGUGUGAAAUGGUUUGGAUAAUUAAUUAAGGAAAACUUUCCCUCAGGGACAUUGCUGAUAUUGCAAUCUUCACUAGAUACACUUAUCUCUACCUCCGCCUCCACCUCCACCUUCACCUCCAUCUCUUCUCUGUCUCUAUCUCUAUCUUCCUGUUGUUUAUCUAUCUAAUUAUUUAUAAAUGAACUGGUGGGUUUGUUGUUGUUGCAGCCUGGCUAAUGUUAUCCAGACAUAUCUGAAACCUCAUGAGUGGCAUGGAAUGGCAGUCCCUGCUUGAACCAUUUACCUCCUUUCCUAACACCAACAAUCACACACACCUGACACUGACCUGAAGCCUCUGGCCUGUCCUCGGAGGCAAAGACUGGGUAGACAAGAUGCCUGGUUACCAGCAAUCUUCUGCAAUUUCCUCUGAGCUAUUGAGAUUGCUUUUCUCUUUGCUCAAAUUAUGUGAGAAACUUUUAAAAAAGAAUUUAAUGUGCUCUUUUGAUAUUUCAGGUGUUCAUUCAAAAGCCUAUGUUAUUCUCUGUCUCUCUGUCUCUUUUCCUAGUUGGGUAAUCAAAAUGGCACAAUCAGAAAUAUUUAUAUCUGCAACAGAAAAGAAGAAUAAAUUUAUUCAUGCACAAGUACAUUAUGUACAUAUAUAUGUUUGUGUAUACAUAUAUCUGUAUAAUUGAUAUAUUUGGGAGAAAUAAAAGGUUUCAUUAAGCACACAAGUUCUAGAGUUAGACCCUCUGUCGCAAAUUACUGUCCUGUCACUUAACUCCUGCCAGAACAAAGUGCAUACUUGAACAAAAUGCCUGCUCUGUAAAAAUGCCUUGAUCUUGAAUAAAAUGCCUGCUAGGUCAAAGCUUCUAUUUUCCCACCUAGAAAAUGGGAACAAUAAUAAGAAUCCUCACUUAAUAGAUAAUGGAAAAAGUUGCUUGCAGCACAGAGCCUGCUACAGACAAUGCCUUCAAUUAAUGCAAACUAUUAAUAUUAUGAAAAGUGAGUAUCUGUUUUCUGACAAUGUUUUCAAUAAUAUAAAUUCUGCCUUUGUUCACUUUAUUUGUUUGAAAAAACAAAUAAA
rnacentral:lncRNA from 1 species